rnacentral:rRNA from 1 species
CUGCAAGUCGAGCGAACAGAUGAGAAGCUUGCUUCUCUGAUGUUAGCGGCGGACGGGUGAGUAACACGUGGGUAACCUACCUAUAAGACUGGGAUAACUCCGGGAAACCGGGGCUAAUACCGGAUAAUAUUUUGAACCGCAUGGUUCAAUAGUGAAAGACGGUUUCGGCUGUCACUUAUAGAUGGACCCGCGCCGUAUUAGCUAGUUGGUAAGGUAACGGCUUACCAAGGCGACGAUACGUAGCCGACCUGAGAGGGUGAUCGGCCACACUGGAACUGAGACACGGUCCAGACUCCUACGGGAGGCAGCAGUAGGGAAUCUUCCGCAAUGGGCGAAAGCCUGACGGAGCAACGCCGCGUGAGUGAUGAAGGUCUUCGGAUCGUAAAACUCUGUUGUUAGGGAAGAACAAAUUUGUUAGUAACUGAACAAGUCUUGACGGUACCUAACCAGAAAGCCACGGCUAACUACGUGCCAGCAGCCGCGGUAAUACGUAGGUGGCAAGCGUUAUCCGGAAUUAUUGGGCGUAAAGCGCGCGUAGGCGGUUUCUUAAGUCUGAUGUGAAAGCCCACGGCUCAACCGUGGAGGGUCAUUGGAAACUGGGAAACUUGAGUGCAGAAGAGGAGAGUGGAAUUCCAUGUGUAGCGGUGAAAUGCGCAGAGAUAUGGAGGAACACCAGUGGCGAAGGCGGCUCUCUGGUCUGUAACUGACGCUGAUGUGCGAAAGCGUGGGGAUCAAACAGGAUUAGAUACCCUGGUAGUCCACGCCGUAAACGAUGAGUGCUAAGUGUUAGGGGGUUUCCGCCCCUUAGUGCUGCAGCUAACGCAUUAAGCACUCCGCCUGGGGAGUACGACCGCAAGGUUGAAACUCAAAGGAAUUGACGGGGACCCGCACAAGCGGUGGAGCAUGUGGUUUAAUUCGAAGCAACGCGAAGAACCUUACCAAAUCUUGACAUCCUUUGACCGCUCUAGAGAUAGAGUCUUCCCCUUCGGGGGACAAAGUGACAGGUGGUGCAUGGUUGUCGUCAGCUCGUGUCGUGAGAUGUUGGGUUAAGUCCCGCAACGAGCGCAACCCUUAAGCUUAGUUGCCAUCAUUAAGUUGGGCACUCUAGGUUGACUGCCGGUGACAAACCGGAGGAAGGUGGGGAUGACGUCAAAUCAUCAUGCCCCUUAUGAUUUGGGCUACACACGUGCUACAAUGGAUAAUACAAAGGGCAGCGAAUCCGCGAGGCCAAGCAAAUCCCAUAAAAUUAUUCUCAGUUCGGAUUGUAGUCUGCAACUCGACUACAUGAAGCUGGAAUCGCUAGUAAUCGUAGAUCAGCAUGCUACGGUGAAUACGUUCCCGGGUCUUGUACACACCGCCCGUCACACCACGAGAGUUUGUAACACCCGAAGCCGGUGGAGUAACCUUUUAGGAGCUAGCCGUCGAA